UGGGGAAUUUUGGACAAUGGGCGAAAGCCUGAUCCAGCAAUGCCGCGUGAGUGAAGAAGGCCUUCGGGUUGUAAAGCUCUUUUGUCAGGGAAGAAACGGUGAAAGCUAAUAUCUUUUUCUAAUGACGGUACCUGAAGAAUAAGCACCGGCUAACUACGUGCCAGCAGCCGCGGUAAUACGUAGGGUGCAAGCGUUAAUCGGAAUUACUGGGCGUAAAGCGUGCGCAGGCGGUUUUGUAAGUCUGAUGUGAAAUCCCCGGGCUCAACCUGGGAAUUGCAUUGGAGACUGCAAGGCUAGAAUCUGGCAGAGGGGGUAGAAUUCCACGUGUAGCAGUGAAAUGCGUAGAUAUGUGGAGGAACACCGAUGGCGAAGGCAGCCCCUGGGUCAAGAUUGACGCUCA
rnacentral:rRNA from 1 species